AGCACUUGACAUACAUCGAGCUCGUCAGAGAGGGCUUGGUGGCGGUUCGGUGGAACGUUGAUAC
rnacentral:rRNA from 1 species